rnacentral:rRNA from 1 species
GACGAACGCUGGCGGCAUGCCUAACACAUGCAAGUCGAACGGGGAUAUUUAUGAAGCUUGCGAUUAAAUAUCUUAGUGGCGGACGGGUGAGUAACACGUGGAUAACCUACCUCGGGUUGCGGGACAACAGUGGGAAACUGCUGCUAAUACCGUAUAACAUUGUUUGGUUGCAUAACUAGACAAUCAAAGGGGGCGUAAGCUUCUGACACGAGAUGGGUCCGCGGCCCAUUAGCUAGUUGGUGGGGUAAAGGCCUACCAAGGCGACGAUGGGUAGCCGGCCUGAGAGGGUGAACGGCCACACUGGGACUGAGACACGGCCCAGACUCCUACGGGAGGCAGCAGUGGGGAAUAUUCCGCAAUGGACGAAAGUCUGACGGAGCAAUGCCGCGUGAGUGAUGAAGGCCUUUGGGUCGUAAAACUCUGUCUUCGGGGAUGAAACCAGUAUAGGCUAAUACCCUAUACUAUUGACAGUACCUGAGGAGGAAGCCCCGGCUAACUACGUGCCAGCAGCCGCGGUAA